rnacentral:rRNA from 1 species
GUGGGGCUUGCGGCCAUUGAAAGGGCCAGAAGGAGACAAGCCUCCAGGGUGCUCUGGCUGCAGGCGGGUGACACCAGCACAAAGUUCUUCCAUGCCAAAUGCUACUCCAGAAGACGCAAGAACUUCAUCCAUACAAUUCAGAGCGACGAUCGAUGCGCCACGACUCAUAGUGACAAGGCACAGAUCAUCUAUGAUCACUUCAGCAAGAUGAUGACAGCGAACACCGGUCGAAACGUGACGCUGAACUAGAACGAGCUGCAGUUACCAAGAAUUCAAGCAGCCGGCUUGGAUAAUCCUUUCACGGAAGGAAAGGUC